GCCACACCUUCUCUCCCUCAGGGUGGCCCUCUGUGCUCCUUCCCUUAUGUCCUGGAAGACCUGGGCCGUGUUUUGGACACAAGCUGAUUGGUGGUCCGCACCAGCCAGCUUCUGCGCUGCGUCACUGCCUGGCCUGGGACCAUGCUGUUCAUUCAUAAUGGCUACAGCAGCAUCUGUUAGCUUCACCUCAUCGCCAUGGCCCCGGCUGGAAGAAGCACAGCAGGUGGGAACAGGCAGGCAAGAAGAAAAGAAGAACAGAGCAUUUCAAGAGCAUGAGCACAGAGUGGUCCUCAGCCAACCUGAGAAGUCACAGAAGGCUUCCUGAAGAAAGCGAGCUCUCCGAGACUUCUGUGGUGGCUUCGACUGCUCCAUGAGCCCUCCACACAGCAGCUGGAAUGAUCUUUCAAUAAAACAAAUCAGAUCGUGCCAUUUGGUUCUUCAAGACCAAAGGUCAGUGAACGAUUUCUGUGAAGGAUCAUCCACCCAGCUGACUCCACUGUUGUAGUGUUGACGCAGCAAGGGCAAAUGUAAACAAAUGGGUAUGGCUGUGUGCCAAUAAAACUUUAUUUACAAAAACAGGCAACUGCUCAGAUUUGGCCCCUGGGUCAGAGAUUGCCAGUCCCUGCUCAAGAUCCUUCAAAACCCAGGUUUCAUUUGUCUUAGAUUGACGUCCUAUGGAAACAGGUCUCGAGAUGAGGAUGUGGUGAUUUAUACUGGAGGUGACUCCAAGAAACACAAAGGGUGGAGGCCAAUAAUGGGGCUCUAAGAACAAAGACCUCCAUGCACCGUAGACCUAAUCCCACCGGGAGCUCAGGGAGACCUGCUGGUAUUCUGCCUGAGCAGAGAGGGAGUCCGGCUUCUCUACUCUACCUCCUCUCAAUCACUAGUGGGGGGCUGAUGCCAGGUACAGUGCAGAGGCUUUAAUUCUCCAGCACCUCCAGCUGACCCAAAUGUUGGGUGAAGUAGGCUCUAGUGGCCAGACCACACCCCAGAGCACAGGGUCACAGGCACUUGGAGCUGGAAACAGAAAUGAGUGGCAUUCCGGGAGGGGAUGAAUGUCUACAACAUGGCAAGGCUGCCCUCACAUCCAUCUAAUUAAAAACUCCAAAUUUUUAAUAUCUGGUCUUUUACCAAAAGUGUUUGCCAACCCUGUUACACCAGCAGUAGAUUGCAGCCUCCUGGAGGGUGUUGUUGUCACUACCGUAUCCCCAACUUCUAGGACAGCCUAUCAUGCAUCACACAUUACAAAUGCUCAAGACAGCAUUUAUGGAAAGCAGGAAUAAAUGCCUGCGUGGGACCGAGGAGUCCCCUAAUGCUUGCUGUGCAUUGAUGCUCCCCUGGUGAGUGACACUUCCGCUAAGACACCACCCGAUGCUCACCACGACCCCUCAGUGACCCAAUCAUACCCACUUCACAGGUAAGAAGACCCCAGUCACCCCAAAUCCCAUAUCUCUCAAUAUGGUGGGCCCAGA